rnacentral:rRNA from 1 species
UAGGGAAUCUUAGACAAUGGGGGCAACCCUGAUCUAGCCAUGCCGCGUGUGUGAUGACGGCCUUAGGGUUGUAAAGCACUUUCGCCAGGGAAGAUAAUGACGGUACCUGGUAAAGAAACCCCGGCUAACUCCGUGCCAGCAGCCGCGGUAAUACGGAGGGGGUUAGCGUUGUUCGGAAUUACUGGGCGUAAAGCGCGCGUAGGCGGACCAUUAAGUCGGGGGUGAAAUCCCGGGGCUCAACCCCGGAACGGCCUUCGAUACUGGUGGUCUGGAGUUCGAGAGAGGUGAGUGGAAUUCCGAGUGUAGAGGUGAAAUUCGUAGAUAUUCGGAGGAACACCAGUGGCGAAGGCGGCUCACUGGCUCGAUACUGACGCUGAGGUGCGAAAGCGUGGGGAGCAAACAGGAUUAGAUACCCCCGUAGUCC